rnacentral:rRNA from 1 species
AUUGAACGCUGGCGGCAGGCUUAACACAUGCAAGUCGAACGAUGACUCUCUAGCUUGCUAGAGAAGAUUAGUGGCGGACGGGUGAGUAACAUUUAGGAAUCUGCCUAGUAGUGGGGGAUAGCUCGGGGAAACUCGAAUUAAUACCGCAUACAACCUACGGGUGAAAGGGGGCGCAAACUCUUGCUAUUAGAUGAGCCUAAAUCAGAUUAGCUAGUUGGUGGGGUAAAGGCCCACCAAGGCGACGAUCUGUAACUGGUCUGAGAGGAUGAUCAGUCACACCGGAACUGAGACACGGUCCGGACUCCUACGGGAGGCAGCAGUGGGGAAUAUUGGACAAUGGGGGCAACCCUGAUCCAGCCAUGCCGCGUGUGUGAAGAAGGCCUUUUGGUUGUAAAGCACUUUAAGCAGGGAGGAGAGGCUAAUGGUUAAUACCCAUUAGAUUAGACGUUACCUGCAGAAUAAGCACCGGCUAACUCUGUGCCAGCAGCCGCGGUAAUACAGAGGGUGCGAGCGUUAAUCGGAAUUACUGGGCGUAAAGCGAGUGUAGGUGGCUCAUUAAGUCACAUGUGAAAUCCCCGGGCUUAACCUGGGAACUGCAUGUGAUACUGGUGGUGCUAGAAUAUGUGAGAGGGAAGUAGAAUUCCAGGUGUAGCGGUGAAAUGCGUAGAGAUCUGGAGGAAUACCGAUGGCGAAGGCAGCUUCCUGGCAUAAUAUUGACACUGAGAUUCGAAAGCGUGGGUAGCAAACAGGAUUAGAUACCCUGGUAGUCCACGCCGUAAACGAUGUCUACUAGCCGUUGGGGUCCUUGAGACUUUAGUGGCGCAGUUAACGCGAUAAGUAGACCGCCUGGGGAGUACGGCCGCAAGGUUAAAACUCAAAUGAAUUGACGGGGGCCCGCACAAGCGGUGGAGCAUGUGGUUUAAUUCGAUGCAACGCGAAGAACCUUACCUGGUCCUGACAUAGUGAGAAUCUUUCAGAGAUGAGAGAGUGCCUUCGGGAAUUCACAUACAGGUGCUGCAUGGCUGUCGUCAGCUCGUGUCGUGAGAUGUUGGGUUAAGUCCCGCAACGAGCGCAACCCUUUUCCUUAUUUGCCAGCGGGUUAAGCCGGGAACUUUAAGGAUACUGCCAGUGACAAACUGGAGGAAGGCGGGGACGACGUCAAGUCAUCAUGGCCCUUACGACCAGGGCUACACACGUGCUACAAUGGUAGGUACAGAGGGUUGCUACACAGCGAUGUGAUGCUAAUCUCAAAAAGCCUAUCGUAGUCCGGAUUGGAGUCUGCAACUCGACUCCAUGAAGUCGGAAUCGCUAGUAAUCGCAGAUCAGAAUGCCGCGGUGAAUACGUUCCCGGGCCU